rnacentral:rRNA from 1 species
UACAGAGGGUGCAAGCGUUGCUCGGAAUCAUUGGGCGUAAAGGGUAGGUAGGUGGUCUCAUUUGUCUGGGGCGAAAGCCCAGGGCUUAACCCUGGAAGUGCCCCGGAAACGGUGAGACUGGAGUACUGGAGAGGGUCGUGGAAUUCCCGGUGUAGCGGUGGAAAUGCGUAGAGAUCGGGAGGAACACCAGAGGCGAAGGCGGCGACCUGGACAGUAACUGACACUCAACUACGAAAGCGUGGGGAGCAAACA